GUGGGGAAUCUUGCGCAAUGGGCGAAAGCCUGACGCAGCCAUGCCGCGUGAAUGAUGAAGGUCUUAGGAUUGUAAAAUUCUUUCACCGGGGACGAUAAUGACGGUACCCGGAGAAGAAGCCCCGGCUAACUUCGUGCCAGCAGCCGCGGUAAUACGAAGGGGGCUAGCGUUGCUCGGAAUUACUGGGCGUAAAGGGCGCGUAGGCGGACAGCUUAGUCAGAGGUGAAAGCCCAGGGCUCAACCUUGGAAUUGCCUUUGAUACUGGCUGUCUUGAGUUUGGGAGAGGUGAGUGGAACUCCGAGUGUAGAGGUGAAAUUCGUAGAUAUUCGGAAGAACACCAGUGGCGAAGGCGACUCACUGGCCCAAUACUGACGCUGAGGCGCGAAAGCGUGGGGAGCAAACAGGAUUAGAAACCCGUGUAGUCC
rnacentral:rRNA from 1 species